UAUUGCUUUGGUCGCCAUCGAUAAUGUUGCGGUUCAUUAUGCGUGCGUGCGUUGGUGAGGGCAGUCCGGCAUGCGCGCGCGUGCAGAACGAUUGUGUCGGCGAGGCAGCUUGUGUGGUUCCUUCAGUGCUCCCCAGAUUUUGCCUUCAGCUUGGUUUGUGUGUGAAGUGGAGUUUGCUGCUACGGGUGGCUGGCGUCGACGUGCCUCCAGAAGCAACUCUCUCCUCAACACGUCGCAGUUCCCCGACGGCAGGAGAGAAGUGCACUGCUCUAGGGUGCUCUCCUUCACGGGGGGCAGGUGGUCAGCCGCUGCGGUGCACCUCAAAAACAUAUGCCAGACGGUUCGGUGCUUUGGCCAGGAUGGCGACGAGUGCUCCUCCGGGUCAACGCCAUUGUGCCUCCUUCUGCGGAGUGCAGUGCUCACCUCAUCGCGCUAUAGUCCGUAUUUCCAGUGCAUGCAGCUCGCAACCCGCCGAUGUGCCGUCUAGCAAACAUUCUGCAGUGCACUUGCCCAUGAGAAGUUCACUUCUUUUUCUAAUGCACUUUGUUUUGUUUGUGGCUCUCGGAAACAUGCAUAGAAGAAAAGAAAAAAAAAUUAAGUGCAGCUCACUUAUUUCAUUACUGUAGUGAUCUUCUAUCUCCGAGCGGCUCACUAUGUUGCCAAGUGCAAAAACAAAUUGGAA